UGACGACAAUAUUAUUACCGUACGCUCGAAUCGAGAUGUGAAUAUAGAGAACGCUGCUUAUGCGAUUCACGGAUAUAAGGUACAGUCGCUUGUUGUACUGAAAUUCACUUGGAACGUUCCGGACAUGUUAUCCAAAUACGUUCUACCCUUUCUCCGCUUCGCCUAUAAGGUUCACUCGGUUGUUAUGGGACUCGCUUUGUGCUGGUCCCAGAGUGAGUCGUUUUAAGUGGCGUCCAGUGUAUUGUAAAAUAAGCGCGGCGAAGCCCGGCAAAACCGACGAAAAACAGAACGGUUUCUAUGGAUCGUGGACUGUGAAUUAAUGCGUUCCGUCCGAUUGAACGGCUUAGCACAACCACAAGACUAGUCCGCUUUUCUGGAAUGUCUACGAUAAAGACAAUUCGU